CUGGGUCCAACCUCCCACCCGUGUUUAUCGUACCUUGUUGCUUCGGCGGGCCCGCCUCACGGCCGCCGGGGGGCAUCCGCCCCCGGGCCCGCGCCCGCCGAAGACACCAAUGAACUCUUGUCUGAAGAUUGCAGUCUGAGCAGAUUAGCUAAAUCAGUUAAAACUUUCAACAACGGAUCUCUUGGUUCCGGCAUCGAUGAAGAACGCAGCGAAAUGCGAUAAGUAAUGUGAAUUGCAGAAUUCAGUGAAUCAUCGAGUCUUUGAACGCACAUUGCGCCCCCUGGUAUUCCGGGGGGCAUGCCUGUCCGAGCGUCAUUGCUGCCCUCAAGCACGGCUUGUGUGUUGGGCUUCGCCCCCCGGCUCCCGGGGGGCGGGCCCGAAAGGCAGCGGCGGCACCGCGUCCGGUCCUCGAGCGUAUGGGGCUUUGUCACCCGCUCUGUAGGCCCGGCCGGCGCCCGCCGGCGACCCCAAAUCAAUCUAUCCAGGUUGACCUCGGAUCAGGUAGGGAUACCCGCUGAACUUAAGCAUAUCAUA
rnacentral:rRNA from 1 species